rnacentral:misc_RNA from 1 species
UAUCGAUCUAGUUCCUUUGUAAAAAUCAGUGCUGGAAUCUCCUUGAUCUCAAGAAAUUUUUAAAAUCUCGAUCUAGUUUUAUUUUUCAUCACUAUCUAACAGUAAUCUAUCUGAACCUGAGUGAGCUAAGACCCAAACCUAUACAAAUCAACCCACAAACCGAACCUAUCCAACCAAAAACCCCUAAGAAAUCUGGGAAGGAAACAGAGGCCUCUCGGUGAUCAUGGUUGCCACCAUCCAACGCAUUGAGUCACGACCAGGGCCAACAAGAAACGUCCACAUCGCAUGGAUCACAAAUGCCUUUGACCACACAACACCUCAGCUAAACAAGGAGACCUCCAACUUCCUCAGCUAAUAAGAUGAAUAGCUCAACAUCGAUGAGAGGUGUUGCCACUGAGCUCUCUCUAGCAUGGAGUCGACAGGAUGACCUUCCUGGCCAGGUAUAGAAAUAGAUCCUGGAGUUGCAAAAAUGGCUAGAGCAAUAGAAGCCCGCCCACCACAAAGUGCUAACCUAGUAGAAAAGAGAGAAAAUUUACGCGCCACAAAGCCGAAGCGUUUCUUUAGGAUUCCAUCUGUUGACACUUCUUUGACUAGCAACCAAACCCAUCACACAGGAUCAACUAUAGAGCCCUCUCUUUGAAGAUCGACCUGCAUACAAAACUACUAAGCACAAACGACAACCAUAAUAUAGCUAACCUAGUAGGGAGAGGGCUAUCCCUAAAAUCUGGGCUAGAGAGCCAAAACCAAAGCCUUCCCCUGCUCGGAGGCAAG